rnacentral:antisense_RNA from 1 species
GGGUGCUCGGGGCCCCGACUCGUACCCAGGUGCCACCUGGCCCUCACCUCCCGCCGUAGCUGGCUGUGACGCCCGCCAUGGGCACACUGGGGCAGUGCAGGGAGAAGACGAGGAUGCCCAGCAGGCUGACAACGGUGCAGAACAGGCAGAACUUGAUGACCGCGGAGCCCCGGAGCCUGAGCUUGUUCACAAAGAAGCCGCCCAGGAAGGUGCCGCCACCGCCCGCUGGCACCACCAGGGCAGCCACACCCCUCCUCCCCCAGGGGCCUCUGCUGAGUCCCUGCAGGCUAACUGACGAGGACAUUUGUCGAAGCCUGAGUGGCCACCAUCAGUACAAAAUUGGGAUUAGCUGGCAUCUGGCUUCUGGGCCGACAAGUGGGGAGGGACCUGCCCAGCCUGGAAAGGCCAGACUGCCUCUGGCACCAAGAAACCCCCAGCUGCACUGUCCCAGGAGGUCCUGAGGCACCAGCGCCUGGCUCAUGGAACCGCCAGGUCCAAACUCUUCCUGCACCAAGUCACAGAAGCCAAGACUAGGUGGCUAGUGGGUGGAGCCCACCGUGGACCCUUCCACCUAGGGAGCAUGUCCCACAAAGAGGGUGGGACCAUCACUCCCCCGGCCUGUGGACAGAGUCGCUCAGCCCCCGUGGCGCUCUCCACACCUGCUCUGGCUGGUGGCCACUCCCCCAGGCCUGUGGACAGUCGCUCAGCCCCCGUGGCGCUCUCCACACCUGCUCUGGCAGUGGGGGUGGGAGGACACUCACUGCCAUGUGCCCUGUCUGGGUCUUUCUAGAAGAUGCCCUUGAAGACUCUGUUUCUGAGAACUGAUAUAAAAGCAGAGGACCCCCAAGAUUCAGAGUUUUCUCACCAAACAAGGUGGCAGCUUCUGAGGCCCUCAGGCUGAACUGGGACUCCAAGAACUUGGGGCUGAAUGUGGACAUGCCGGUGAUGAGCGUGGCCUCAGUGGCCCCAGCCAGGCACAGCAAGAUGAACGUGGGGUUCUUCAGGAGGAGCCAGAUGGAGCUGGGCAGAUGUCGCUGACUUGAACCCCUGCGUCUGCAGCUUAGCGACAUCCUGUAAACCUGCACUUUCCAGCCUCUCACCGGAGCAGAGUGUCGGCCUCACAUCACCCCCACCGGCAGGAAGGUGGCUCUUUCCUCUCGGCCACACCUAGAGCCUGGUUCCGAUAAAUGCAACUCUGAACGCCUGGAACAUUCAAAUGCUCUUGUUUGAGGACGUGGCCAAAUGUAAAUGGAUUCUGAAGAAUUAGGAACAGACGAUGCAGCCCUAGUUAGCCUCUGAGCCCCAACAGGCCCACAGGUGCCUUGCAGAGCUGAUGUUGGCGACAGAAACUCCACUCCAGCCUCACACUCUGCCUGCUUGGAGGUGUUCGCUGGCUCGCUCAGACUGACCUCAGCAGCCAUGAACAUAGGUUUUUUCUGUUCCCUUCCCUGAUUAAAAUGGGAGAGCCCAAUUCUUUCAAAA